AAGCGGAAGGACUACCUAGUGGCGGACGGGUGAGUAACGCGUGAGCAACCUGCCUUUCAGAGGGGGACAACAGUUGGAAACGACUGCUAAUACCGCAUAAAAUCAUAGGAUGGCAUCAUCUAAUGAUCAAAGAUUUAUCGCUGAAAGAUGGGCUCGCGUCUGAUUAGAUAGUUGGUGAGGUAACGGCUCACCAAGUCGACGAUCAGUAGCCGGACUGAGAGGUUGAACGGCCACAUUGGGACUGAGAUACGGCCCAGACUCC
rnacentral:rRNA from 1 species